rnacentral:tRNA from 1 species
CAGAUUAGAGCUUGAAAAGUUAAGCAUUUCGUUUACAUUGAAAAGUUUUCCGUGCAAUUCGGUUUAAUUUGA